AUAAUAUUAAGUAAAAGUUUGAGUUCUUGAAUUUCAAUGAUAAAUAUUGAUCAUGAAAUUAGCACACAUAUAAAGAAUUUUAUUCAUUUAUUCAUGAUCUUUUCUAAUAAUAUUUAUUUAAGUAACAAAUUAAGUUAACCNNNNNNNNNNNNNNNNNNNAUANAACAACAUGUAUUUUGCUCGCAAGAAAGAAAAAAUAUUGCAUUCUGUCUAUUAAAUGAACUUAAAAAUAACUUUUCAAUUUUUUUAGAAAUGCUCUUAGAUCUUUAAAAGUUAUGUAUUCUUGCUAAAACUGAAAAGUUGAAUAUAUAGAAUUUGAAUAUACAUCAAUUUCAAAAAUUUAAAGUUUUUAUUUUAUACUCGAAUAUAACUUUUAGUAAGCAUACUUAUAUAUUGAGAUUAGGUGCACACGCAACGUACAUAACGUGAAUUUUACCAAAUAAUAAAGUCUCCUAACCAAAAAGAAAAUUGUGUGUGUGAUUUAAGGCAAAAAAAUUUAACCAAAAAUAUCUCCUAAACCUAAAAGAUAUUAACUACAAAAUAAACGCAUUCAAUACUCCAACAUAGGGGCGAAAAUUUAGGCUAGGCAGAAUUUUUAAUUGCAAAAAGGGUCUCCAAAACCUUAAAGCUAUAAACUACUCCAACAUACGUAGGGAGUAGAACGAAUAGGAAAAUAUUUAGGCAAAAUUUUAUUGUCUUUCCUAGAUGGUUAAUAAUAGGAGAAUAAUUAGAUAGCUAUUCCUAAAUUAUAGGAGAAUUAAUUAAAUGAUUAUUUUUAAAUAUUAAUUGAAUACUUAAAUUACUAUUUUAUCUAAUGUGAACUCUAUAUUUUAAAGAGUAAAAAAGGCGAACGAUAUUUCGCUAAAGGUCUUCGUGCUUUUAAUAUAGUAUAGAUAGAUUAGAAAACCACUAUUUUCAAAAUACCUUAAACACGAUUCUCUCUAUAAAAAAAAUAAAAAAAAAUAAAAAGCCAAAUACUACCUAAGUGGAGAGGUGGAUUAAUAGACGCUGGAAAGAAAAAUACAUGAAAAAAUGACAAGACAAAAAUAAAAAGCAAAGGUUAAUCUCACUUAACCUCUUGUUUUUCAAGUUCUAAUGCAUGUGUAUUAGGUUAGUAAAUGAUUAAUUUGGCAGGUGGUAAUAUUAAAGAAGAAGAAGAAAAUGGGGUUUACACUUGGGAAUUGUCAAUUGGUCAGCUAUUGUAAUUUUAUAUUAAUUGUACUUCACCUAUAUUAAAUGGCCAUCACAUGUACACUUGUCUCGCUAAUCUAUGCUGUUUAAUGCAGGUUCGUUUCAUUAAUUGCCUCUUAAAUUAAAGUUUAAGAUACUCGCUUAGUUGACUUCUCCAAAAUAUGUAAAAGAUAUAGGAUAUAAUGGUGUACCACGAAAAUUAAAAGAAUAUUAUUAUUUCUUAACAUUAACUUUACAAUCUAGCUGUACUAAUUUUUUGUUUUAAGAAAUGUGUUAUCCUCGUACAGAUGUCAGUGGGUGAAUUAAUAAGAUGAAAUAGAGAAAUAAUACCCCAAUAAUCUGUGAUGGGAAGUGAUAUUGCCAAAUCCCAAAUAGAUUCAUCAGAUAUGUUCUUAUUUGAGGAAUUUUUGCAAAGUACUUAGAGCCUAAUUAUCAUACAUAAUUAUAGUUUGCUUAAUUUCCAUUCAAUUAUUACCAACUUGUAUCAGUUGUAUUCAGACGCACAACGAAUAUCUCAUAUAUCAACUGUAUUUGUUCGCGCAAUGAAUACAACCAAGGCAAAAUAUAAGGGUUUAGACAUAGGCUAUAACUUGUAUCGACUGAAUUCGUUCGCACAACGAAUACGACCAAAGCGAAAUACAGAAAAUAGAAUCCUCUGAUUGAGAGUCGAACUCCAUAUUCUGCUUACUAAGUGGGCGCUCUAACAAAUCGAGCUAUAAGAGCUUUGCUCUUAUUUCAGUACUGAAUUUGAUAUAAAAUUCAAAUAUAGCUACAAAUGAUAAUUUUCUAAAAGUAUAGCUAUGAAUGAUAAUUACAAUAUCUAAAGUAAUUUUUCCUUCUUAUUUUGACUUCUUAUCUAACGUACCUAAUUCUUAAGAGUAAGCAAAUUGAGUUCAGAAAACACAAAUUUAGAUAAGGAUAAUUAUCCGAGCAGAGAAAAAAAAAGUGAAAUUAUGAGAAUAAGAUGGUUUAAUAUAAAUAUAUAUUUUCUAUCUCAGUUCUAUUAUGUAGAUAUACAAUGGAAUUUUAUGUCUAGAAAUUUUAGAAACUUUAAGUACGUCACAUGAAACAAAAAUGUUUACUAAUAGUUGAGAGAAAAAUAUAUAAUCUUUUGGUCCAGAUUUUAAAAGUGAAUCUAAAUUUAGGCAAUUUAAGAAUCACAUAUUCACAUGCAACAUUUUUCAAAAAAUAAAACGCUUUACCACGUAUGCAAAUGCAAUACAAGUGACCAGACGUACAAUGGAUUAUAUACACAAAAAGGUUAUGCACAUCCUGUGCUUCACCAAAUCCGUGAAUAUAUGAUAUAAAUUUAGUGUGCACUUGCUAAAUUUAUCACUCAACUAUGAUGAUAUAUUUUAUUUUAAUGUACUGUAACAACAAUGCACUAGUGGUCUAGUGGUAGUAUAGUACCUUACCAUGAUACAGACCUGGGUUCAAUUCCCAGCUGGUGCAUCAGGGGUAUUUUUUAUAUUUUCUUUUGGAGGCCAAUUCACUUACCAAGAUAAGAAGUUAAAAUUUCUGUAUCACUCAAAUGACCUGUGAGUGUCUGAAAAGUUUAGGAGGUAUCACAUAAAGAAUGUUUAGUAUGAUUUCUUCCUUUUUGCCCCAUAAAUCUUCAGUUGUUCACAUGGUUUACCUUUGUGUACGCCUCCAAUAAAGUUUUAAAAUGUCCGAAGGUGCAGCAAAGGUUUACAUAGUAUGAGAAACCUGAGAAUCUAAGAGCAACAAAUUUGUACAAGUAAACCUACUCACCAAAGUCCAAAUAUAUUGAGUUUCCAGCCUCAUUUGCUACACUAAUCGAAGAGCUGCAUCUGUUUUCCACAUGUCUGUCCAUGAUUGCAUCCAUUUUUAGCAGCUAUUAUACAAAAUGAAAGUAAACCUAAGACGCGAGUAGCUCCUACUAGUACAAACAAGAUAGUAGGAAGGCGAAAGAACAGGAAGAAGACCAACAUGCCAAGCCAUGAAGAGAAUUGUCCCAACAGGAUAGGAUCCUCGGGACAAACAUUCUUGUGGCAAACUUCAGCAGCAAUAUCUAUGCCUUGGAUGAAACGAUGAAUGAAUUUUCAUGAUACAUGGAUCAUUAUAUGGUGCUGCUUCCCGAUUGUGAUCGUGAAUGUACAGAGUGUCUUACAGUUGAGAAGAUGAGAGAAGGCUCCGCCAUUGCUCCAUUUCCAUAAUCUCCACAGGCUAGCCUCUUUGGUACCGGUGGUAUAAGAGAGAUGCCAAGCUCAUCAAUUAUCAUAAGGUGCCGCUCGGUGAAUGGGUUAUUCCACAUUAAUGUAUUCAUGGCUGGUGCCACAAAGAGGGGUUUAUCCUAGUCCCAUGCUCGCACAAUGCAGGUCAGCAAGUUAUCACACAAUCCACCAGCAAUCUACAAACAGAAAAUCACAUCUCAAUUUAUGUGCAAAAAUAAAUGAAGAGUAGGCUACUAGCCUCAAAUGACUGUAUAGCAGGAGAUACUAAAUCCUUCACAUAUUUUAUGUUAAUAUCAGACAAUUCUGGAUGUCUUUUUUAAAUUAUUUAUUUUUUUAAUAACUGUGGUGUCCGGUCCAGCACCUUGACUAAUUCCAUGGGCUUGGACAGAUUGGAAAAAAUCACCAAGGGUUUUUGCCUUCGCUCGGAUUUGAACCUGAGACAUUGUGGUUCUCAACCCAUUUUAUUGACCACUAGGCCACCCCCUUGGGUGCGUCUGUUUUAAAAUGAAUUUCCAGUCUUGUCACUUUUCCAAUUUCAGGAUUGCUCAUGGGCACACGAGUAUUCAACAACAACAACAUCAAACCCAGCACACGAGUAUAGUAUUCAGGGAACCAAAUUCCAUGAUAAUAACUUCAAUAAGUGACUGUUCCUCAGCCAAUUUUAGUCAUUUUUGAACAUUUAAGUUCAUUCUAAACAUUUAUCUGAACUUAGUAAUACUACUAAUGUUAAUAGUAUAAGAGAACAAAAUUCAUUUCUGCAGCAGAAUGUACCCCAAAUCAUGGAAAAAAAAUUAUGAAUAAAAGGAUAUAACAAAAUAUCACCUUUCCAAGCGUGUUUGCUGACAAAGGGGCAAUAACCAUGAUAUCAGCCCAUCUACGGAGCUCAAUGUGUAGCACGCUAUCACCUACUUUAUUCCAAGUGGACCAUUCGUCAUCAUCAGUAUAAAGAACGACAUCUUUUGGAAAUGACAGUUUGUCUAUGAAAUGAAGAGAAGCUUUUGUUGCUACUGCUUUGACUUCUGCCCAUUGAGAAAAGCAAUGACAUAGAUUUGCAAACUUGAUUGUUGCCACACUUCCACUUGCAGCAAGCAGAAUCCGAGGUUUCUGUGAAGCAUUGUUAACUAGGUGUCUUUCGACCUCUGAAGUUAUAGGCUCCAUCUGUCUUACAAAAUGCGAAAGUUCGAAUGACUUUUAAAUUUGUAUCAAGAGAAAGACACCUAAGAGAGAUAGCAGCAGCAGAUAAGACAGAGAUAACUAGCAUAAUUUAACAACCUUAUAAAUCUCUAUUUCCAUUCAUUCGAGAUCUCUCUUUCCAUUUUCAAUGGGGUUGAUUAUGAUGCUGUGACUCCCUAUAAGUACUCAUAUUUGCAAACAAAAACUCCAUCCACAACAAUAAGAAAAAGGACAGCUCUCUCCCUUUAUGCAGAGAUCCAAAUCAAGUAGUAUUCAGGAGAGAAAUAAUAUAUCAAAGAACCAACUUUGCAUACUAAAGCACCCAUUCUUUAUAAAAAUGAAGGAUAGGUAGGAAUUAGUCAAACUCGCCUUCUAGCAUCACAAAGCAUAAUUUUAAAUUAUUCUGCAUUAAUGCCUUCCAGGGUUCACUUCAAAGUUCAAACGCCAAUGGAUACAUAAAUGAAAUCCCAUCCAUGGUUUAGUACCACAUUCCAAAAUCCAACAAAAAUAGAAGGUAAAGUAGAGUCUAAAUUUCACGUAUAAUUACUGAAUUUUACCCACUAUCCCAUUAAAGUCACAAAACUAGUUCUUUGUUCAUUCAGAGGCGGAUCCAUAAUUUAAGCUUUAUAAGUUCAAUCUUGAAGGUUCAUAACAUUGAACCCAUUAUAUAUUUAAAGUUAUGGGUUCAUACCUACUUUGUGUUGCAAUUUUAGGGAAUUUUUAUACACAAAUUUAUGCUCCGCAUUAAAAGUAGUGGUUCAGAUGAACCCGAUACCAAUACACUGCAUCCACCUCUGAUCACAUUAAAGGGUCGUUUGGUAGGAGGUAUUAGAAAAAAUAAUGCAAGCAUUAGUUCUAUGCAUUACUAAUACCUUGUUUGGUACAUUUUUUCAACUUGUGUAUAACUAAUACAUCAUACUUGGCAUUAACUUAUGCAUAAGUAAUGCAUAGAAAACCAUGGCAUUAGUAAUACCAAGGCUUUAAUGCAUGCAUUAGCAUGGUUAAAGACAAAAUUGUCCUUAAAGUCCCUUAAAGCUAGAGAAUAUGGAGGGCAUUUUUGUAAGCAACUAUUUUUCUUAAAAAUUAUGCAAUGCAUUAUAAUUUUAAUACACCACACCAAACAAUAGAUAAGAAAUAAUAUUUGCAUAACUAAUGCUUGCAUUACUAACCCAUGCAUUACUAAUUCAUGCAUUACUAAUACACCUUAUUCCGCACUAUUCUUAUACACCUUACCAAACGACCCCUAAGUGACAAAAGAGUCUCUUAACUCAAAGCUUGACUCCAAUGCAAAAAGAAUUUACUUAGACCUAGUGCAUGCAUAAAAUUAUGUUUAUUUACCAUGGUACGAUCAAUUGAUAAAUUGAAGUAAAAUUAUACUCAUUAAGUAACUAGAU
rnacentral:lncRNA from 1 species